UCUCGAUAGCGUAAAAGUUAACUCAAUUUUGUAGGGAGUUGGAAGUUUGCGUACGUUUGCCGCUAGGGGCGCUGUUCCAACUGCAUACAAAUCUGAGUUAACUCUUACGCUAUCGA
rnacentral:pre_miRNA from 9 species